rnacentral:rRNA from 1 species
UACGUAGGGUGCGAGCGUUAAUCGGAAUUACUGGGCGUAAAGCGUGCGUAGGCGGCUUUCUAAGUCGGGGGUGAAAUCCUGGAGCUCAACUCCAGAACUGCCUUCGAUACUGGAGAGCUCGAGUCCGGGAGAGGUGAGUGGAACUGCGAGUGUAGAGGUGAAAUUCGUAGAUAUUCGCAAGAACACCAGUGGCGAAGGCGGCUCACUGGCCCGGUACUGACGCUGAGGUGCGAAAGCGUGGGGAGCAAACAGG